GACGAACGCUGGCGGCGUGCUUAACACAUGCAAGUCGAGCGGUAAGGCCCUUUCGGGGGUACACGAGCGGCGAACGGGUGAGUAACACGUGGGUGACCUGCCCUCAGCUCUGGGAUAAGCCUGGGAAACCGGGUCUAAUACUGGAUAUGACUCCAUGACGCAUGUUGUGGGGUGGAAAGCCUUGUGCGGCUGAGGAUGGGCCCGCGGCCUAUCAGCUUGUUGGUGGGGUGAGGCCUACCAAGGCGACGACGGGUAGCCGGCCUGAGAGGGCGACCAGCCACACUGGGACUGAGACACGGCCCAGACUCCUACGGGAGGCAGCAGUGGGGAAUUUUGGACAAUGGGGGCAACCCUGAUCCAGCCAUGCCGCGUGUGUGAAGAAGGCC
rnacentral:rRNA from 1 species